CCGCUGAGUGGGGAGGAGAGAGGGACAGAGAGCCUGCUUCUUUAAAGGAGCAAAGUGGGAGAGUAGAGGAGCCGCUUACACGAGUGUAAGCGGCUCCUGUCCGGUUGGUUCCUUUACAGCAAGCAGGCUCUCUGUCCCUCUCUCCUCCCCACUCAGCU
rnacentral:miRNA from 1 species